rnacentral:rRNA from 1 species
AUGGGAGCUUCCAGCGUGCAAUGCUCCUCCUCCGUGCUCGCGUUGCUGCUCUGCUCCUUGCUCAUGCAUCCGUCGCAAGCAUACAAGCUGCAUGAGGAGAAGGUGCCGCUGAGCUUCAUCGUGCCGGACCCCUCGCCGGUGCUGUCGCCGCCGCCGGUGACCGGCGCCGACGACGACGACGGGAUGAGGCCGAGGCUGCCGACGGAGCGGUGGAAGCGGGGCCGGGGCGAGGAGAGGCGGGCCCGUGGCGGCGCGCACGCGCCGGCGCCUGCGCCGUGGUCGGCGGGCCCGGCGCGCGCGCCAGCCCCAUCCUACGCGCCGGCGCCGGACUCCGGAAGCGGGGCGCCGGUCAUCGAGAGCAGCCCCGCCGUGCCGGUUCCGCGCGGCGUCAGGGACACGGCCACCAUCCUGCCCAUGCCCGCGCCCGGCGUCAAGCGGCAGGACGUGGGCGGAGCUGCUUUGGCUCGACCCGGUAUGGCGCCGCUGGUGGUAGGGCUCGUCAUGAUGGCGUCUUUAGGAGCUUUAUUAUGCUAG